CUUUUCAAUAUCUUAUAAAAUCGAUUUUUUAAAAAAAACACUCUAUUUCUGUUAAAAAACCUAAAAAAAAAAACUAAAACAUUCCUUUUCUCUCCUCUCCUCUCACUUUCUCCGAUCAACGAACCGCGCCGCCGCUAUGAUCGACGGGUAGUGGCUACAGACUGGGCCUUUAACCCCUUCUUAAGUCCGGUGGACGGCCGGAAGAAAAAGGAGGAAUCUAACCAUCCCUUUUAGCCCAACUCCAACGACGGCGAAGGGACCUUCGUCGACGGGGCCACGCGGCGGUUCGAGUCAUUUUUUUGCAGGUGUCGGACGGGAGUGAUAGUGGCACGUGGCGGCGCGAAGGGCACGCGAGGAGGCCACGUACGGUGCUGGGCUGGGGCAGCAGCAUACGGCGCCCUAGUGGUUUCUUGCUGAAACUUUUCUGAUUUUGUUGGGCUUGGAUUUUUAGGGUUAGGUUUGGGCUUGUUUGUAAUUGGGUUGGUUGGGUUUUAAUUUCAUUUGGGUCAUCUGAAUUGGGUCAUUGUAAUGGACUUUUUAAUUUAUUUUGAUUUUGGGUGUUGGGUCCUAUUGGGCCCCGGGUCAAAAUUGGGCUUGUACAAUAGUAUAAGGGUAAACUACUUAAAUAGUCACCCGAUUAUUAUUAAGUUUUUAGUUGGAUUAUCUAAUUUUAAAAAGUUACAAAA